rnacentral:sRNA from 1 species
UACUGCCGCCUAUAUCAGCUGCAGAAAUUCGGUUCCGCCUUUGACCACGGAUGUACUGGCAUUGAUGUUGAGCCGAGUUUGGAAAGGUCGGGAUUUCCCGGCCUUUUUUAUU